UACGGAGGGUGCGAGCGUUGUCCGGAAUCAUUGGGCGUAAAGGGCGCGUAGGUGGCUUCUUAAGCGUGCGGUGAAAGCCUGGGGCUCAACCCCGGGUCGGCCGUGCGAACUGGGCUCACUGGAGCAUAGUAGAGGCAGGUGGAAUUCCGGGUGUAGCGGUGGAAUGCGUAGAGAUCCGGAAGAACACCGGUGGCGAAGGCGGCCUGCUGGGCUAUGGCUGACACUGAGGCGCGACAGCGUGGGGAGCAAACAGG
rnacentral:rRNA from 1 species